GGCCAACUUUCAUGUGGAUCACCUGUUGGAUUUUUAUAGUUUCAUGUAUGCAAAAAAUUUUUAAAAUGAGUAUGCAGUGAAAAUUAAAAAUUUCAGAUUAAAUCAAAUUUAAUCUAAGCAUGUAUAAGAUUAAAUCCUAAAAUCAUAAAUAGAAUCAUCAUAUGUGAGAUAGGAUUCAGAUAUAGAAAUCAAAUAGAAAAGAAUAAAUAAGCUUUAUACCUUAGCAUGAAUCGAUCUUUAUCGUAAACUGAUGAUUAUGGAUAUCUUUCAAAGGUCCCUUGAAGCCACACAAGCAUCCUACCUCUACAGAUAUCCACACGAGACUUCGAUCUGAUCAAAAGCUUAUUGAUCUCAUCGGGGUGCUAACUCUCUUGUAGAGAUUGUAUCUUAAUGGUUGAAAAUCUUCUUUUCUCUCAAGACACUCUGAGAGAAGAAGAAGAAAUAUGAGGAUAAUGAUCUCAAUGCUAAAGAUCAUAAGAAGAAUCCUUUCAUCUCUUUCUUCCUAUAACUCAUGCACCAAAUCUUUACACUAGAGAUGUAAAAAUUUUGUCCAACUUUUAGAUAAAGAGGAGAGAAGAAACCAUAUCCAAACUAAGAUAAAAUAUGAGAGAGAAGAUGUCCUAACAACCAACCUUUGGUUGUUUGUAAGAAAGAAGGGAUAAGAGCACAAAUAUCUCACGCCCAUGACCUUCACACUAUGCCUUUCUCCAUGAUUUUACUCCACGCACAACCCUUUAGUUUUUGGUAUCUCAACCUGAUCCAUAUCAACCCCCCAAACCAUCCCAUAAGACCAUGUUUAAAUAGGCAAAAAGGAGUUUGAAUUUGGGUAGGAGAUAAGAGUCCAAACAACCUUGGACUCUAACAAUUUUAUGCCGCCCAACCUUCUCUCUUUUGUGCCCUCAAAUCUCAUGGAAAGAAGAGGAUUAAGAAAGCUUAUUACACGUUAAAAAGGGAGAGAGGGCAAGAAAAAAAUAUGGCAUCCAAUCUGGUUGGGUGUGGGACUUUUAUGGCACAU
rnacentral:lncRNA from 1 species